rnacentral:rRNA from 1 species
AGCGAACGCUGGCGGCAUGCCUAACACAUGCAAGUCGAACGAGACCUUCGGGUCUAGUGGCGCACGGGUGCGUAACGCGUGGGAACCUGCCCUUAGGUUCGGAAUAACUCCCCGAAAGGGGUGCUAAUACCGGAUAAUGUCUUCGGACCAAAGAUUUAUCGCCUUUGGAUGGGCCCGCGUUGGAUUAGCUAGUUGGUAGGGUAAAAGCCUACCAAGGCGACGAUCCAUAGCUGGUCUGAGGAUGAUCAGCCACACUGGGACUGAGACACGGCCCAGACUCCUACGGGAGGCAGCAGUGGGGAAUAUUGGACAAUGGGCGAAAGCCUGAUCCAGCAAUGCCGCGUGAGUGAUGAAGGCCUUAGGGUUGUAAAGCUCUUUUACCCGGGAUGAUAAUGACAGUACCGGGAGAAUAAGCUCCGGCUAACUCCGUG